UACGAAGGGGGCAAGCGUUGUUCGGAUUUACUGGGCGUAAAGGGCGCGUAGGCGGAAUUGUAAGUCAGAGGUGAAAGCCCUGGGCUCAACCCGGGAAUGGCCUUUGAGACUGCAAGUCUUGAGUGCGAGAGAGGGUGGCGGAAUACCCAGUGUAGUGGUGAAAUGCGUAGAUAUCGGGAGGAACACCAGUGGCGAAGGCGACUACCUGGCCUGUUCUUGACGCUGAGGCGCGAAAGCUAGGGGAGCAAACGGG
rnacentral:rRNA from 1 species